AUAUCUCUCUGUACGGGAAGGAUGAGAAGCUUCGACUAAGGUUCGAUUCGAGCGCAGCGAGAAAGCGUUGC
rnacentral:sRNA from 6 species